rnacentral:rRNA from 1 species
UACGAGAGGCCCAAACGUUAUUCGGAAUUACUGGGCUUAAAGAGUUCGUAGGCGGCGCAGAAAGUAGGGUGUGAAAGCCCUCGGCUCAACCGAGGAAUUGCGCUCUAAACUACUGUGCUUGAGGAAUCUAGAGGUGAGCGGAACUGAUGGUGGAGCGGUGAAAUGCGUUGAUAUCAUCAGGAGCACCGGAGGCGAAGGCGGCUCACUGGGGAUUUUCUGACGCUGAGGAACGAAAGCCAGGGGAGCGAACGGG